GGGUACAUGGUCUAGUGGUAUGAUUUUCGCUUCGCAUUAAUAUAUUACCUUCAGUGUAAUUUCGGGUGCGCAUGUGAAAGGUCCCCGGUUCGAUCCCGGGUGUAUCCA